rnacentral:rRNA from 1 species
UGGGGAAUCUUGGACAAUGGGCGAAAGCCUGAUCCAGCCAUGCCGCGUGAGUGACGAAGGUCUUCGGAUUGUAAAGCUCUUUUGGCGGGGACGAUAAUGACGGUACCCGCAGAAUAAGCCCCGGCUAACUUCGUGCCAGCAGCCGCGGUAAUACGAAGGGGGCUAGCGUUGUUCGGAAUUACUGGGCGUAAAGCGCACGUAGGCGGAUUUGUAAGUCAGGGGUGAAAUCCCGGGGCUCAACCUCGGAACUGCCCUUGAUACUGCAAAUCUCGAGUCCGAUAGAGGUGAGUGGAAUUCCUAGUGUAGAGGUGAAAUUCGUAGAUAUUAGGAAGAACACCAGUGGCGAAGGCGGCUCACUGGAUCGGUACUGACGCUGAGGUGCGAAAGCGUGGGGAGCAAACAGGAUUAGAUACCCCUGUAGUCCCUGAGCGGGCUGGCAAGGCGCAU